AGAGUUUGAUCCUGGCUCAGGAUGAACGCUGGCGGCGUGCCUAACACAUGCAAGUCGAACGUGAUCUACUUCGGUAGUGAAAGUGGCGCACGGGUGAGUAACACGUAGCUUAUCUGCCCCAAAGAGGGGGAUAACGGAUCGAAAGGUCUGCUAAUACCCCAUAAGCUCACGAGGGAUAGCCCCCUUGCGAGAAAAGCUCCGACGCUUUGGGAGGGGGCUGCGGCCCAUCAGCUAGUUGGCGAGGUAAUGGCUCACCAAGGCGACGACGGGUAGGGGGCCUGAGAGGGUGAUCCCCCACACUGGAACUGAGACACGGUCCAGACUCCUACGGGAGGCAGCAGUGAGGAAUAUUGCUCAAUGGGCGCAAGCCUGAAGCAGCGACGCCGCGUGGGCGAUGAAGGUCUUCGGAUCGUAGAGCCCUUUUCACCGGGACGAGCAAGGACGGUACCGGUGGAAUAAGUGUCGGCUAACUACGUGCCAGCAGCCGCGGUAAAACGUAGGACGCAAGCGUUAUCCGGAAUUACUGGGCGUAAAGCGCGUGUAGGCGGAUGUUUAAGUCACUGUUGAAAGCUCCUGGCUA
rnacentral:rRNA from 1 species